rnacentral:rRNA from 1 species
GCGAGUGAACCGGGAAAAGCUCAAAUUUGUAAUCUGGCUGUCUUCGAUAGUCCGAGUUGUAAUCUAUAGACGUGUUUUCCGUGCUGGACCGUAUCUAAGUCCCUUGGAACAGGGUAUCAAAGAGGGUGACAAUCCCGUGCUUGAUACGACCACCAGUGCUCUGUGAUACACGCUCUACGAGUCGAGUUGUUUGGGAAUGCAGCUCAAAAUGGGUGGUAAAUUCCAUCUAAAGCUAAAUAUUGGCGAGAGACCGAUAGCGAACAAGUACCGUGAGGGAAAGAUGAAAAGCACUUUGGAAAGAGAGUUAAACAGUACGUGAAAUUGUUGAAAGGGAAACGAUUGAAGUCAGUCGUGUUCUUUGGAUUCAGCUAGUUCUUCUAGUCUACUUCCUUUGAACGGGUCAACAUCAGUUUUGUCCGGUGGAUAAAGAUAGUAGGAAUGUAGCUCCCUCGGGAGUGUUAUAGACUAUUAUUGCAUGCACUGGGUGAGACUGAGGACUGCAGCUCGCCUUUUGGCCGGCCUUCGGGUACGUUCGAGCUUAGGAUGUUGACAUAAUGGCUUUAAACGACCC